AUGCCUGUUCCAAUCAUGAACGGACAUGAAGGCAGCCGGUGGGAUUUACUAUUGCGUCUCGACCUACUCGGAGCAGGAGAGGCCAGGCUGUGGCAGCCGCGGUCGUGGCGUCAUGCACGUGGCAUCGACGCAGGUGAGAAUACAUCUAUGGUAGUCUCGUGGGCCGAGCGUCAAGGUGAUGGUAGCCGACCCUGCACGCCCCCUCUAGGGAUGGGAAGUGGCGGGCAGAGUACCUCCCCCGCGCAUGUCAGAGUUGCAAACACUUUCAAUUUCAACUGUGUGGUGAUCAGGACAUUCUGUGUUGCUUGGACAACCGAGCUAAGACGGCGAUGCCACCACCUACUUGUAUCUGUACAGGACCUCCGUUUCCAAAAAUGA
rnacentral:rRNA from 1 species